rnacentral:pre_miRNA from 1 species
AGAGAGAUAAAUUCUAGGUUUUCGUGUCUAACGUUUGACUGUUCGUCUUAUAUAAAUUUUUUUAAUUAGUAUUUUUAUUGUUGUUAGAUGAUAAAAUAUGAUUAAUACUUUAUGCGUAACUUGUUUUUUUUAUAUAUUUUUUUCAAAUAAAACAGGUGAUCAAAUGUUGGACACGAAAAUUUAAG